GAACGCUGGCGGCGUGCCUAAUACAUGCAAGUCGAGCGGACCGACGGGAGCUUGCUCCCUUAGGUCAGCGGCGGACGGGUGAGUAACACGUGGGUAACCUGCCUGUAAGACUGGGAUAACUCCGGGAAACCGGGGCUAAUACCGGAUGCUUGAUUGAACCGCAUGGUUCAAUCAUAAAAGGUGGCUUUUAGCUACCACUUACAGAUGGACCCGCGGCGCAUUAGCUAGUUGGUGAGGUAACGGCUCACCAAGGCGACGAUGCGUAGCCGACCUGAGAGGGUGAUCGGCCACACUGGGACUGAGACACGGCCCAGACUCCUACGGGAGGCAGCAGUAGGGAAUCUUCCGCAAUGGACGAAAGUCUGACGGAGCAACGCCGCGUGAGUGAUGAAGGUUUUCGGAUCGUAAAACUCUGUUGUUAGGGAAGAACAAGUACCGUUCGAAUAGGGCGGCACCUUGACGGUACCUAACCAGAAAGCCACGGCUAACUACGUGCCAGCAGCCGCGGUAAUACGUAGGUGGCAAGCGUUGUCCGGAAUUAUUGGGCGUAAAGCGCGCGCAGGCGGUUUCUUAAGUCUGAUGUGAAAGCCCCCGGCUCAACCGGGGAGGGUCAUUGGAAACUGGGGAACUUGAGUGCAGAAGAGGAGAGUGGAAUUCCACGUGUAGCGGUGAAAUGCGUAGAGAUGUGGAGGAACACCAGUGGCGAAGGCGACUCUCUGGUCUGUAACUGACGCUGAGGCGCGAAAGCGUGGGGAGCGAACAGGAUUAGAUACCCUGGUAGUCCACGCCGUAAACGAUGAGUGCUAAGUGUUAGAGGGUUUCCGCCCUUUAGUGCUGCAGCAAACGCAUUAAGCACUCCGC
rnacentral:rRNA from 2 species